GUGACGUCAAGGCAGUCACGCUCCUUAUAGCCAAUCAGGAAUAAUGUGAUAUUCACCGCCGUUUUUCGCUGACGGAUAAAUUCAGUGAAAAGAUGCGGCAACUGCUCUGGUGAACAACACAGUAAAGAUUUGAUUCACAUUCCUGGGAUUGGUGUAUCUCCUGUUGCUUGGCAACAAGCGGUGAGACCCUUCUCCACCAAUAUGCAGCUGUUUUGUUUGUGGGGUGAAGAGCUGAGAUCCUCAUCAACCUCUUAGCUGCUUGGAUCACCACUCAGAAAUCCUCCAGUUUCUCUCUCAGAUGAGACACAGAUUUUAUUACAUCAUCAAAAGAGAGGAGAGAACUGACAGUGAUGUUGAGUGAAUCUGUAGAUCCAAGAGAAGCAGUGACAGACUGGAAACUCUACACAAACACAAAGACAAACAACACAAACAGUCUGAAAACGCAUAAACAUUUAAUAUAAACUACAACCUGUAAAACAUGCUCCUCACUUCCUAAACACCACUGUCAUGUUCAUCAGAUCUCUGUUACCUGGAGG